GAUGAACGCUGGCGGCGUGCCUAAUACAUGCAAGUCGAGCGAACGGACGAGAAGCUUGCUUCUCUGAUGUUAGCGGCGGACGGGUGAGUAACACGUGGAUAACCUACCUAUAAGACUGGGAUAACUUCGGGAAACCGUAGCUAAUACCGGAUAAUAUUUUGAACCGCAUGGUUCAAAAGUGAAAGACGGUCUUGCUGUCACUUAUAGAUGGAUCCGCGCUGCAUUAGCUAGUUGGUAAGGUAACGGUUUACCAAGGCAACGAUGCAUAGCCGACCUGAGAGGGUGAUCGGCCACACUGGAACUGAGACACGGUCCAGACUCCUACGGGAGGCAGCAGUAGGGAAUCUUCCGCAAUGGGCGAAAGCCUGACGGAGCAACGCCGCGUGAGUGAUGAAGGUCUUCGGAUCGUAAAACUCUGUUAUUAGGGAAGAACAUAUGUGUAAGUAACUGUGCACAUCUUGACGGUACCUAAUCAGAAAGCCACGGCUAACUACGUG
rnacentral:rRNA from 1 species